CCCUCACUUUCGAUCAGUUGUUGCUCCACGAGAUAAACGUUGGACGCAAGACAUGGGUUCCUGUGUUGCAUACCUAUUGCGACGGAAAUGUGUGCCUUCGAUCGUCCCUUCCAUCACGGCGUCCUCACGGAUGCUCGGUUGGACCGGAUAGUGGGGCUCGUGUUCCACGGACGUCGUCUCAUUCGACCGUUCGGAUGGACCACGGGUGCCCACUCGUUCUCUCGGAUGCGGAAAUCUCUUGAUGGGCGUGGGGUCAUUGGCCCUUGGUCCCURAUCGUUAAGCGUAUAUCGCUUCACCGGAAUGACGAUCUCGCCUUGUCCUUGACCACGCGAAGCCCUCGGGCAUCGCGACGGAUCAUGCUCGGCGGACGUCGUGAAGGAAUGC
rnacentral:misc_RNA from 1 species